UUUCAACAAUGUGGAACAUCAGAAUCUGUACAUGCUGGACCUACACUGCAAUUAUGCCAUCAAAAUUUUACGACAGUGUGAAUUUUACAUACAUAUUCUGGUUUCAAAGGACUGCGUGCCGUUACUUUCGGAUUCAAUGCAGCAUGAAACAUUUGCUUGAAAUAAAACAGUAUUACCAUGAUAUUAAAAUUUUCAUUCUACAGAACUACAAUGUUUCAUCAUAGUUGUUUGAUGAGUUCAAAUUAUAACAAUAUAUAAUAUUGUCAAUAAAAGAAAAACCAUUAACAUUCACGAACUAAUGGUGCAGUAUAUGAGUUAAGUUCAUGCCUUAGUAAAAACCUGCGGACCAAAAAUUGUAACUGUUUCCGACAAAGAAAGAUUGUGAUAAAUUAUGAAGCGUGACUCGCCCGUCAAAUGACGCGCC